GACGAACGCUGGCGGCGUGCUUAACACAUGCAAGUCGAACGGAAAGGCCCUGCUUUUGUGGGGUGCUCGAGUGGCGAACGGGUGAGUAACACGUGAGUAACCUGCCCUUGACUUUGGGAUAACUUCAGGAAACUGGGGCUAAUACCGGAUAGGAGCUCCUGCUGCAUGGUGGGGGUUGGAAAGUUUCGGCGGUUGGGGAUGGACUCGCGGCUUAUCAGCUUGUUGGUGGGGUAGUGGCUUACCAAGGCUUUGACGGGUAGCCGGCCUGAGAGGGUGACCGGCCACAUUGGGACUGCGAUACGGACCAGACUGCUACCGGAGGCAGCAGUGGAGAAUAUUGCACAAUGGGCGGAAGCCUGAUGCAGCGACGCCGCGUGCGGGAUGACGGCCUUCGGGUUGUAAACCGCUUUCGACUGUGACGAAGCGUGAGUGACGGUAAUGGGUAAAGAAGCACCGGCUAACUACGUG
rnacentral:rRNA from 1 species